UACGUAGGGUGCAAGCGUUGUCCGGAAUUACUGGGCGUAAAGAGUUCGUAGGCGGUUUGUCACGUCGUUUGUGAAAACUCACAGCUCAACUGUGAGCCUGCAGGCGAUACGGGCAGACUUGAGUACUGCAGGGGAGACUGGAAGUUCCUGGUGUAGCGGUGAAAUGCGCAGAUAUCAGGAAGAACACCAAUGGCGAAGGCAGCUCUCUGGGACGGUACUGACGCUGAGACGCGAAAGCGUGGGGAGCGAACAGG
rnacentral:rRNA from 1 species